AGUGAACGCUGGCGGUAGGCCUAACACAUGCAAGUCGAACGGCAGCACAGUAAGAGCUUGCUCUUACGGGUGGCGAGUGGCGGACGGGUGAGGAAUACAUCGGAAUCUACUUUUUCGUGGGGGAUAACGUAGGGAAACUUACGCUAAUACCGCAUACGACCUACGGGUGAAAGCAGGGGAUCUUCGGACCUUGCGCGAUUGAAUGAGCCGAUGUCGGAUUAGCUAGUAGGCGGGGUAACGGCCCACCAAGGCGACGAUCCGUAGCUGGUCUAAGAGGAUGAUCAGAGAUACUGGAACUGAGACACGGUCCAGACUCCGACGGGGGGCCGCAGUGGGGAACAUUGGACAGCAGGAGCAAGCCUGAUCCAGCAAUGCCGCGUAGGUUAAGAAGGCCAUCGCGUGGGAAAGUCCUUUUGUUGGGAAAGAAGAGCAGCAGGUUAAGGCGAAGCUGUUCUGACGGUACCCAAAGAAUAAGCACCGGCUAACUUCGUG
rnacentral:rRNA from 1 species